AUGAAAUUAAGUAACAUUCCUUAUCUACUCCAAAGUCCAAAGCAGCCACACCCAAGUCCCAAGGGAGAGGUUCUACUUCUAUCAGCAAUGGCGUCCUCCAACCCUCUCUUCUCAUCACCACUCCCUCUGUCCCCACUCAGAUCCCACGCGCCGCUGCCCCUAACCUUCUCCUUCACAACGAAAGCAACCCCCAAUGAUUCUUCCUCUACCGAUGGUCCCACCUCCGAAUCACCCGAGACUGAAAGUUUCGAGGACCGACUCUCGCAGGUACGUCUGCGUUACCGGAGUGGCACAGGGAAGAAAGCCGACGCACGGAAGAGCAAGAAGUCCGGGAAGAAAUCCGGUGGGAGUUCAGGAUCUGGGGCAAACAUGUACCUCCCACCGGUGCCUUUGAAGGAGCCGAUUUCAGGUGGAGUGAAAGUGGAUUUCGGGUUCAGCCCGUAUUCGGAGAGGAUGAAUGGGCGGGUGGCGGCCCUUGGGUUAGCGGCGUUGGUGUUAGUGGAGCUGGCGACGGGAGAGAGUGUGAUAAAAUACCAUACGCCGUCGAUCAUUUUUAUUCAGGUUUAUUUUGUGGCUGCUGUUACGGCGGUGUAUUGUAAGGUUGAAAAGGAAAAGGUCAGCAUUUGGCCACAGUCGUAGUGAGGUGCUCCGGUUGACUCGGAGUAUUUGGCAUUGAUGAUUGGUACAGCUGUUUCUGUAUUUAGUUUUUGUUCAACGAUUGAAAUAUAUAUAUAAUAAUUAUUUGUUAAAAUGGCCAUAACAAUCGAUUGGAACUCUGAAAAUGUUUAUACACAUAAAAUAGCAACUUACUUAUGUUAAUUUGGUUUAAUAUAGGCUUAUAGCAUCCAACUUUUAUUUUUACUUAGAAAUCUAUUAGAGCUUUGAAAAUAUGAUGCACUAAUAUGAGAAACAAGCAACACCUUCGAAACCAAGGUAGCAAUACCUAAAAGAGAAUCCCCUAUUGCUAUCCUGGUUCAUAUAUAAUGUAAUAUGUCAAAAGAUGACUAUUUUGUUUCUAAUUUUAGUAAAUGUCCAUGACUUUCGUGCAUUUGUUAGAAUAGUUUUUAAUUUUAUGANUGGCAACACCGGAACAAUACGGAAACUGGAAAUGGUUUUUUUUUUUUUUUCCCAUUCUGUUCUAUGGUUUUGGAUGAGACUAAAUUUUGGAUAAAUAGUCCCAUUGGACUUGGUCAACAACUAACUUUAUCCCAGUCCCGUCCGUGUCAAACGCUCAGUGAUAUAGGACCUUGUUCUGUUCUGUUCCGUCCUAUUAUACGUAUCAAAUGGGACCUUAACGACGACGAUGUAAGAAUUGUCGAAGUCUAGCAAAGUUGAAACCUAAAAGGAGUCACGGAACAGUUGAAAUCAUAAAAUUAUACUAUUCAUGAACACUUUUAUUUUAAUAUAUAUUAAUAAUAUGAAAAUUAUAUAAUGAAAUUAAGUAACAUUCCUUAUCUACUCCAAAGUCCAAAGCAGCCACACCCAAGUCCCAAGGGAGAGGUUCUACUUCUAUCAGCAAUGGCGUCCUCCAACCCUCUCUUCUCAUCACCACUCCCUCUGUCCCCACUCAGAUCCCACGCGCCGCUGCCCCUAACCUUCUCCUUCACAACGAAAGCAACCCCCAAUGAUUCUUCCUCUACCGAUGGUCCCACCUCCGAAUCACCCGAGACUGAAAGUUUCGAGGACCGACUCUCGCAGGUACGUCUGCGUUACCGGAGUGGCACAGGGAAGAAAGCCGACGCACGGAAGAGCAAGAAGUCCGGGAAGAAAUCCGGUGGGAGUUCAGGAUCUGGGGCAAACAUGUACCUCCCACCGGUGCCUUUGAAGGAGCCGAUUUCAGGUGGAGUGAAAGUGGAUUUCGGGUUCAGCCCGUAUUCGGAGAGGAUGAAUGGGCGGGUGGCGGCCCUUGGGUUAGCGGCGUUGGUGUUAGUGGAGCUGGCGACGGGAGAGAGUGUGAUAAAAUACCAUACGCCGUCGAUCAUUUUUAUUCAGGUUUAUUUUGUGGCUGCUGUUACGGCGGUGUAUUGUAAGGUUGAAAAGGAAAAGGUCAGCAUUUGGCCACAGUCGUAGUGAGGUGCUCCGGUUGACUCGGAGUAUUUGGCAUUGAUGAUUGGUACAGCUGUUUCUGUAUUUAGUUUUUGUUCAACGAUUGAAAUAUAUAUAUAAUAAUUAUUUGUUAAAAUGGCCAUAACAAUCGAUUGGAACUCUGAAAAUGUUUAUACACAUAAAAUAGCAACUUACUUAUGUUAAUUUGGUUUAAUAUAGGCUUAUAGCAUCCAACUUUUAUUUUUACUUAGAAAUCUAUUAGAGCUUUGAAAAUAUGAUGCACUAAUAUGAGAAACAAGCAACAC
rnacentral:lncRNA from 1 species